ensembl:lincRNA
CCGCCUGCCGCCCCGGCCAAACGCCGCCUGCCGCCCCGGCGGGCCACGUACCUGCUGCGAGCUUCUGUGGGACUGCAGGCUGGACUGGAGUCUGCGCAGCAGCGGGGCUCCGUUCCUGGACAGCCUCUUGAGGAGCCAGUAGCUGUGGGCGCGCUCGACAAACUGCUUCUUCCGCUGAAUGGCCACCUGAUUCGCAAUCCUAUUUAAUCUAGAACACGGAAAAGCUCAGGGUUUAGCUAUGAAGCAGGACAUGGACACUUUAUCACGGAAACUAGAAAUGAAGUCAACAGACCAUAUGCGUCCCCCUGGCUACACCCCGCCCCCUCACCACCACCACCUGCCUCCCGGCUCCGCCUGCCCGCGGGCUGCAUUCCCGCCACCACCACUCAGGUCACGCGUCCAGGGACCCCAGAUGUCACCUGCUCUGAGCCCUCAGCUCACGCAUCCAAGGACCCUGGGUGUCCCCCGCUCCGAGCCCUCAGCUCACGCGUCCAGGGACCCUGGGUGUCCCCCGCUCCGAGCCCUCAGCUCACGCGUCCAGGGACCCCGGGUGUCCCCCGCCCCGAGCUGCGCAGGCUCACACCAGCCUCCCCCAGGUGAGAGCAGGCCUGCAGGAUGGCCCCUCUCAAGGGGCCCCAGAGCCCACAAGACAAAAAGCAAUGGGACGACUGGAGGCAGAAGCUGCUGAGGGCGGGGUCAGCGCGCCACAAAAGUGCGCACAAGCGCCCCCAGGCCUCGUGGCAAGGCCAUCGUUUCAGAGACUGUAAAACUCGACAGAUUCUAAGAACGCACAAGGGGACGCAAAGGGCUUCACACCCCCCAGGCCGGCCUCUGGCCCCUGCCUUCGCCCCUCCUGGGAACCACGCCUCCCGAAGACAACAAAUGCAGGCUGCGGACCAAACCCCAAUGGAACAGGCGGCUUCCUUUCAGAACACCGGACAUCAACAUUUCAGGGCGGAAAUUAAGGAAUUUUAAAAGGACAUCUUCCAAGGAGUGUGAUUCCUAAAUCAUACGUAACUGUACUGACAUCCUCGGCUCCGCUGUGUCCAAACCCACAAUGCUCCUUCUCAUUAAGGCAGUUGCUACAGCUCGAGCCUCGGGGCCAAAGGCCACGUGCCGCUCAGGGUAGCCCUGCCCAGGGCCUCUUCUGGCGGCCGAGGAACCCAGCGAGGGGCAGACAGCGAGCCCCACCCAGCGCGUCCACAGGCCCGCCCAGUCACACGGUGCUGGCUCCAGCGGAAGGCGCUGGGGACCCCAGACCCCCCUCUGCAGAGGGGCUGUGUCUGUCCUGGGCACCUAGCCGGCGCCCUUCUGCUGAGGUCUGCCCUCACCCCGUGACUGCCACCUGACUCAGGGCCAGCCAAGAGCAGGCAGCUUAACACACGGAGCGCACGCAGACAUGCGCUCUCACACACGCGCAGCUCCGGCAACAGUGAAGGGCGGCACCGGUAGAAGGUGGACUCGGCGCGCGACCCUGGCUGAGCCGCCAGGCAGCACACAAGAGCGCACGGGAAAAGCUCAGCAAGCCCAGCGCCGUGCUCGCUGUGAAGAGCAGGGAAGAGACGGACGGGAGCAGGGAGCAAGGGACAGCGAGCCUCGUGCCUUUAAANNNNNNNNNNNNNNNNNNNNNNNNNNNNNNNNNNNNNNNNNNNNNNNNNNNNNNNNNNNNNNNNNNNNNNNNNNNNNNNNNNNNNNNNNNNNNNNNNNNNGAAAUGGCGGCACGGCAGCAGCACGGGGCCUGGAGGCUGCCGCGCUGAGCGAGCUGAAUCAAAGAUGAACACUGCGUCACUCGUGUGCAGUCUGAACGACACAGACCAACUCAUCCACAAAACAGAGAGAGACUGGCAGGCCUGGCUCAGGGACCAGACUUAGAGUGACCAGAGGGGGCAGGGGUGGGGAGAGAUGAGCUAGGAGUGUGGGGUUAACGUGUAGAGGACUGGACGUAAAGCAGAUAAAUAACGAGUGGCUGCGGUGCAGCACAGGGAAUCGUACUCAGUGCCCCAUAAUAAACCAUAACGGGAGAGAAUGUGAAACCAGCGUAACUGUAUGUCACUCACUCUGCAGCGCAUCAGAAACUUGCCACUGUUCUGUCGCUAAGUCACGUCCAACUCUCUGCAACCCCAUGGACUGGCCGUAGCAAGCCAGGCUUCCCUGUCCUUCACUGUCUCCCGGCGUUUGCUCAAACUCACGUCCACUGAGUCGGUGAUGCCAUCCAACCAUCUCGUCCUCUGUCGCCCCCUUCUCCUCCUGCCCCCAAUCUUCCCCAGCAUCAGGGUCUUUUCCAAGAGUCAGCUCUUCGCAUCAGGCGGCCAAAGUACUGGAGUUUCAGCACGAGUCCUUCCAAUGAAGCAGAAACUAACACUUUCUAAAGCAAUCAACCAACUCUCAAUUCAAAAAAAAGAAGAGUAUCAUGAAGACCGAGAUGCCCAACAAGCCUGUAGAAAAAUGUCCCUGGCCAAAUCCGAAUUACGAAAAGAAAGAAGCUGAAGUACACUCCUUUAACCAUCACCCUAGAAACUGAACGGGCCGUUUAAAAGUUUCCUUACCACCCCCAAAAGAAAUAAAAGGAACCCAUUUCUCAGAGGAGGUUCACUAUCAGAAAAGGAAAUCAAGCCAACCCAGCCCUGCGCUGACUAUGGCGAGGCGAGGGCACGCAUCAGUCCUCUGGGUGAGUCCCGACCGGGCGGGAGAGUGGGGCCAGGCCAGACGCCACACGCACAGACACACCCCAGGGCCCGGGGCCCACGGCCGAGCGCAGGAGGCCAGUGGUCUAGAGAUCGAAGUCCCAGAAGGAGACCAGACUGCGACCCCCCCCCCCC